UUCACAGGCUAUCAACCCUUCAAACUAGAUGUGAUAUUACAGUUGGGAAAAGAAGACAAGCUUCGGAUGAUGGAGACAGAAAUCCAAGGAGAUGGGUGUUCAGACACAAGAAUCAAAAUGAGAUAGAUACCCUUCAAGAAGUAAGAUUAAGAUUCCUUUCAUAUGAAGACCUUAUAUGCUGGCAAAUAUGGGAACAAUUUACAAGUAAAUUAACCAGUAAUCAAGACCUAAUAAUAAAUCUUCAAGGCAAGAGGUCCAAGUUGCUAAAACAAGGUGAUUCCCCCUGUCAGGUGUGGACAGGAGAAUCUAGUCAGGUCUCUGAA
rnacentral:lncRNA from 1 species